GACGUAGGGUGCAAGCGUUGUCCGGAUUUACUGGGCGUAAAGAGCGCGUAGGCGGUCUGUUAAGUGUAGAGUGAAAUCUCCAGGGCUCAACCCGGAAACUGCUCUGCAUACUGGCAGACUGGAGGGACUGAGAGGUGAAUGGAAUUCCUGGUGUAGCGGUGAAAUGCGUAGAUAUCGAGAGGAACACCUGCGGCGAAGGCGGGUUGCUGGGCUGAUACUGACGCUGAGGCGCGAAGCCAGGGGAGCGAACGGG
rnacentral:rRNA from 1 species